rnacentral:lncRNA from 1 species
CUCUCCGCACUGCUAAAGCUAACUCUCUCUCCUCUGCUCUCAUCCUUCUAGAACUAUCUGCUGCCUUUGAUACUGUGAACCAUCAGAUCCUCCUCUCCACCCUCUCCGAGUUGGGCAUCUCCGGCGCGUCCCACGCUUGGAUUGCGUCCUACCUGACAGGUCGCUCCUACCAGGUGGUGAAUCGCAUCUCUGCAUGUCUGGCAGACAUAUCAGUGUGGAUGACGGAUCACCACCUCAAGCUGAACAUCGGCAAGACGGAGCUGCUCUUCCUCCCGGGGAAGGACUGCCCGUUCCAUGAUCUCGCCAUCCCGGUUGACAACUCCCUUGUGUCCUCCUUCCAGAGUGCUAAGAGCCCCGGCGUGACCCUGGACAACACCCUGUCGUUCUCCACUAACAUCAAGGCGGUGACCCGAUCCUCCCCUGUGUAACACUCGUCGUUGAAAGGGGACCAAAACGCAGCGGUCAAUACACGGGCGCAGACCUCCAUCCUUCUUCUUCACAAAAAGGAAACUUGAGGAGGCAGGUGAAGUGGAGGGCCGAAUGUAUCCCUGCCCCAGGGAUUCAGAGACAUAUGUUUCCAUAGCCGCCGUCUCUUCCUGUGACAGAGGAUACACAUGACUCGUGGGAAGUGCUGCGUCUACCAGG